AUAAUAAUAAUGAUAAUUAACUGAAUCUAAUGCAAAAUAAAUCAACAUAAAUAAUAAUAAUACUGGAACUGAUCCCAAAAGUAGUUCUUGUUAAUAUUAUCAAGAGUAUAUAUAUAAUGGAAGAGGAGAGUGUCUUACUUGCCUAUACUGCAUUGAUGCAUGAGCGCGUAUCAGCUGAAUGUCACAAUCCGUUUUAUCUCUGUAUACUAUUUCUAUGAAUUUCAUGAAUAAAUUAUUAGUCAUCUGACUUGGGCGUGGUUAUACUACACACGUACGUGGUAGCAUAGAUAUUAGAGUAAAUGAAAGGGAUAGGCAACUUCCGUUGCGUGGGCGGAUUAUUUCAUUAAGAUUAUUAGGUUGCCUAGCAACAUAGGCAAGUUACCCUUCCCGGGCCUUUUCCUUCACUGUUCGGCGUCCUAUUUCAACUCAUAACUCUAAAGUGACUUGUGUUCGUCCUCUGCAAUGAUAAUUAAAGGCAUUACAGAUACCUCCCUUACAGUCUGUCUAAUUUUUGAAGUAAAAUAAUAUUGAUAACUAUGGAAUACAAAAGAAGUAAUACCAGAAUUAACUAUUACCAACUAUUCUAUACAUUAUUAUGGAGGGCACGCAACAUAAAUGACUCCGAUGACAGAUUUGGUGACUGAUUUAUAAUCAAUUCAAAGUUUUUGCAAAGACCUUCGUUUUGUACCUUUUUCUUUACAGUUCAAUGAUUGGCACAUUUAAA